AGGGCGGAGGUCGGCGAGCUCGGAUGACUGCCCACCCAGGGCCGGAUCGUAUUCUAACGGUCUGCAUCCGUAUGCCACCAAGCGAUCUUAAGUAUAAAUAGGGCAUGACUCCCCCAAGGUAAGGGAUAAAAAAAAACUUGGUCUAGACUCUCCUCUCCAAGCUCUCCAACUCUCUGGCUUAUCGGCGACCUCGUCAGAGCUCCUCGGAUCUCGUCCGCCUUUCUAGCUACGCACUCGUUAACUUGACCGUCGGAGUCCCCACCUCGGAUUAACACCUGGGACCUUUGGCGUUCCCUUCCUCGCAUGUACUCAACCUCAGCCAACCUCGGUCAGGGCAGACUUCACCAGCCCUCAGCCACAGCACACCUCGGUCUCCCCUAGCCUUCGGCCACAGCACACCUCGGAUCCUUCCACCCGCCAGCUCGUCCGGGAAGCAAGUUUACUGUGUUGUCCUGAGCCCAUUAUGAGCAUCAAAAAUACUUAUUCUUUCCUCUCCUCACUCUCUCUCAUAAUCUCUCUUCACAACAUCUACCACUCUCUGUUUCUAUCACCAAACCUAUUUUGGGGAUGCGGAUGAAUCUGCUUAGUAUGUUUAUCCAUUUACGGUUACAGAAUCUAUAAUGUCAGUACCUAUAUGAUUGAAACCCUAACAGGAGAUCAAUCUAGCAGUAAUGGACAGGCCAAAGAUCCUCCUUCAAAGGAGGAAGCAACGAGCUUGGAGCUAAUGGUGUAGGAUAGGCCAAAGGUCCUCACCGUGUGCUUAUUUCUCAAUCUUCCAUUUACAAGUGCUGAUGAAUUUGUUUUCGGGGGUUUCGAUUAUUGUGCAAUUGAUGAGGUUUAUUCCAUUCUUACUGAUGAAGCAAGAAUUCCUUUCCUCAUCUCAGGACCUGUUGAAAAACCUCAUGAUCUCUACUGCAAAGCUGCAAAAAUGAUUGCGGCAUUUGAUGAGUGAGAUCUUCAUUGUACCGGAAGAAGAUGGAGUGGUGGACUUCUCAAAGAAAGAAGUCAUGAAGUUAUUGAAGUUUUUGACCCAAAGCAAAGGCCUUGGGGAUGCAAUAUCCAUGUAUAUGAGUAGAUUUCAGAUGUAAUGAUGGAGACAUUUUAUUUUUUUUUUCUUUUGUAUUUUUAUAAUCCAGUAAAAAGAUUUGAUGUUAACUAUUGAACCAAUAUUAAAUAUGGAUAUUUUGUAUUCAAUAAAGGUUGGGGUUUAUUUGAGAA